CAGAGCUCAUGUCUUUCCUUCGGUGCUUGCUUGCAGAUUUUUGUUUUUAACUGCUAAACUUUUGGCACAGAAGUUCCUGUUACACCGGUUGAUGGUCGUUGCCAGCCUCCCCCAGCAACUCAAUGACAGGAGAGACCUGGGAGUAGACUACAAGGAGCUGAACCAGUGCUUGCAGAGUCUUCCAGCGAGAUUCGUGUGUCUCUGCUGCAGGAUCUGAGAAACAUGCAGGAACGGCCACACUGGCAUAGUAUCUUACUUCAUGCAAAUUUGAAUCAAUAUAUAAUAGUUAUAUCUGUUCUGGCACUAAAUUCAGAGGGUCAAGCAUGUGCGUUCUGUUGACAGACCAACCAAAGUCAUUAUAGCUUGACUAAAACUUGGCCAUAAACAUUGUUUGACAUGCUGUCUUGAUGUUGUCAUGGUCCCUGUCAUCGUCAUGCAGCGUCCUGAUCGAGGCGCCCAGGGUCCUGGUGAUGUGACAUUACAUUCCCAACAGGAUGUUUCAGCAGUAGAGCUGCAAGGUGCUGAACGUGCAGCCCAGGGUGGGAGGGGCUCUGAGUAGGGACAGGCUGAUGACGAGGAGGAGGACACAGAAACACUGGUCAGCACUGGGAAACCACCUCCUCAAAGCAACCAAUGGUUUAAAGAUGCCCCCGGGCUUUUCGUUGGAUGAGAUACCAGAGAUGAUAGUUCCUCCGGACGUCUUGGUCCAGCACCUGUCCAGUGGAGAACUUCUAAGCCCCAAGCUCUUAGAAAAAAGGGUUCCAAAAGGGUUCACUGGCUGUCCCCAUAGGAUAACCCUUUUUGGUUCCAGGUAGAACCGUUUUGGGUUCCAUGUAGAACCAUUUGUGGAAAGGCUUCUAAAUGGAACCCAAAAGGGUUCUACCUGGAACCAUAAAAUAUUCAAAGGGUUCUCCUAUGGGGCAGCAGAAGAACCCUUUUAGGGUUCUAGAUAGCACCUUUUUUUCUAAGAGUGUACCUGCGGGCCUAACACACCCUUUGCCACAUCCUCAUGGACUCUGGUGAGCAGGACUUUACACACUCAUCAACAGGGCUGGUUAACUCCAUUUGAAUUCAGUGAAUUUAAUAAGUUAUAUGAAG
ensembl:lncRNA